UACGAAGGGGGCGAGCGUUGUUCGGAUUUACUGGGCGUAAAGGGCGCGCAGGCGGCGGAGCAAGUCAGGCGUGAAAGCCCCGGGCUUAACCUGGGAGGUGCGUCUGGGACUGUUCUGCUAGAGUUCGGGAGAGGAGCGUGGAAUUCCCAGUGUAGAGGUGAAAUUCGUAGAUAUUGGGAAGAACACCGGUGGCGAAGGCGGCGCUCUGGACCGAGACUGACGCUGAGGCGCGAAAGCGUGGGGAGCAAACAGG
rnacentral:rRNA from 1 species